rnacentral:lncRNA from 1 species
UCUAGCCAGUUUUUCUCAGCCGACCCCCAUCUGACUACCAUCACUUGUCUCCCUCUUUCACCUUAGGAGUUUAAAAAAUCCAAAUUGCAAUUCAUGUCUCCACUACUGAACCAAGAGAAUGUCCGGUGGGCAGAAGUGUGCGGUACCAGUGAGAUCUACAGCUCUGGUUCCUUGCCAGGGAUCAGAGGUUCCACAGCUUGCUCGAGUUUGUACAACCCAAAUACCAGGUAAUGCCCCUCAUUCUGUAGACCAGUUUCCCGCCUGCCUGCCUACACCUGCUGUUACCUUUUUUGGAUUAUUGUUAACAGAAUAAUUUGGCAGUGGGGAUCUUUUAAGCGUGUGGCCCUGGUGAAAAGCGAAGUGCUGCUCGAAUUUUCCUUUUGUGUGUGUUGUUCAUAUUUCAAGGUAAUUUGCAGAACCAUUGUAAUGCAUCUUCG